rnacentral:antisense_RNA from 1 species
CUGCUCGCAACGCGCACGGGUCAGCGUCAGACAGAUCAAACCCCGGCCAUGGGUUGCCAUGAAGUUAAUCGCAUCAGGCGUGAUUUUUUCUGACGCAAUAAUCA